AAACAUAUACUUUGAGUAAUUUUAAAUUAUAAUUCUUUUUGAAUUAGAAGAGUACUAACUAUUUUCUAUUUUUUUCUUUAGAGGUAAUAAAAAAAAAUUUAAUACCCGACCACUUGUGGUCUUUUUUUUUAAAAUUCUGUAAUACCCGACCCAAUCCAAUCAUAAUCCGACCUAGCCCAUCUUAAUUAUCCUUUUUUCCUUCUUAAUUAUCUUAGAAGCCCAUACAACUCUCACCUCACUCUCAAACACCUCUCACCGAUGGAAACAACACCGAUGAAAUAGAUCCAGAGAAUCCAAUAUUUUAACAUAAAUUUCCAAUCCCUGCAAAUUCUGUGAAAGCAUUUUAGUGCAAAUUUUCGGUCCCUGCAAAUCCAGUUCGACGCUAAGUUUGUAAUAUAAAUUUUCCCUUCGUAUACUUUUUUAUCUGUUAAAACCCCCCAACAUUUUCCCCUUUAACGCUAUUAUUUGUAGUAAGUGAAGAAGAAAAGUUCACUAAUGCAUUCUUAGUAUUCAACAAGUUAAGAUUUGGUGCAUUUUGCCUAAUGGAUUGACUUUUUCAUUUAUGCUUAAAGUUUGUUGUUGUUCAUACUCUUGUUGUGAAAUUGGGAUUUAGCAAGGAGAUUGAAAGAGUUAUGGUGUGCGCAACGUAAAGUGUUUGAUGAAAUGCCUGAGAAGGAUGUUGUUUGUUGGACUUGUUUGAUUUCUGAGUGUGCAAAGUUUGGUUUGUCUGUGGAAGGUUUGUGUUUAUUUUUGUGAUGGUGAAGAAGAAGUUGAUUCCUAAAAAUGAUACUAUGAUUAGUGUUUUACAAUAGCAUCAGAUUUAUGCCAAUUGAUUAGGUAGAAACACUAGGAAAUUUGAAGAAGCUUCCUGGUUUGAAUUUAUUUUAUUGGUCUUUGAAAGAUAACAAUGAAUUUAUGUAUCAUUUGGGACAUAAAUAGACGUUGUUGCUUUGAGGCGAGUUUUCUAUAUUUUGGUCAACUUUUAUAAUGUUGAUGUAGUGUUAAGUGGCUAGAGCUCCCAUCCCAUACACAAUUUGAUUAAUGCCAAAUUUUGCAGUUGUCUUUAAUAGAAUUACUAUUAAUUUGAAUUUUAAGUCAACUUCAAUUACUAAGUUUUAUAACAAUUAAUUUGAAAAAUUAAGAUAUGCUUUGUUAGCAAAUGAUUUUGUGUUGCUUUUUAACAGAAUUCGAAUUAGGGAAAAAGGAUUGCUUUGCUAUUUUCGAUGAUCAUUUGUCUCUUUCUCUUCAAUUUUGGUCAAGCAAAGAUAAGUUGAUUUCUCUCUAUUUUCUUAUAGUAAAGUCUUUAAAUGUAGUGUUAAGGUGAGAUUAUUUUAUUUAGAAGGUUUUGAAAGUCAUAGGUUUUGCGAUGGAUAUGCGACGCCUCUACUUAUUUGCUUUAUUAAAUUUGUUGAAUUGUUUGAUUUGAAAGCCAUAGGUUUUGUGAUGGACAUGUGAAUUAGUGACUUGAAAGUGAAAAUUUUUAUCAAUAAAAAAUUCCAACAUCCUAACAUGGAACAAAUAUUUUGAGUAAUUUUAAUUAUUAUUCUUUUUGAAUUAGAAGAGUACUAACUAUUUUUUAUUUUUCUCUUUACAGGUAAUGAAAAACUUUAAAGAUAGGUCCAUGAAAACAUACUUACGACGCUACUAUUUUGGAGGUCAUUAAUCGUGUGAAAAAAUAAAUAAGAGAGCAUAUAGUUACAGACUGUUUAGUAAUAGAACAUCAGAAGUAUAAGAUAUUGAAGGAGAAAAAAAUAGCAUAACAAAAGCUAUAAUUAUUUUGUCAUAAAUCGACCUGAUAUGAGCAAUGGAAAAUGUUUCUUUACUCAUAUUCUAGUUUCUCUUCGUGAUCCUGAAGUUACUAGUCUUGAUUCUAUGUGUUUUCUUAAGAGAGAGGAUGUAAUUUAUGU
rnacentral:lncRNA from 1 species